rnacentral:rRNA from 1 species
UUUAACGGCCGCGGUAUUUUGACCGUGCAAAGGUAGCAUAAUCAUUAGUCUUUUAAUAGAGGGCUGGUAUGAAAGGUUUGACGAGGUGCUGACUGUCUCAUUUAAUUUGAAAUUAAAAUUUAACUUUUCAGUCAAAAGGCUGAAAUAAUAUUGGAAGACGAGAAGACCCUAUAGAGCUUUAUAUUUAAUUUAUAAUGAUUUUUUGGGUAUUAAUUUUUAUUAUUAAUUUAAGUAUUUUGUUGGGGUGACAAAAACAUAAAAUUAACUUUUUUAUCUAUUAAACAUUAAUUUAUGGUUAUUAGAUCCAAUCUUAUUGAUUGUUAGAAUAAGUUACCUUAGGGAUAACAGCGUAAUCUUCCUCCAGAGUUCAUAUUUACAGGAAGGCUUGCGACCUCGAUGUUGGAUUAAGAUAAUAAUUAGGUGUAGCCGCUUAAUAUAUAGGUCUGUUCGACCUUUAAAUUCUUACAUGAUCUGA